AGUGAACGCUGGCGGUAGGCCUAACACAUGCAAGUCGAACGGCAGCACAGUAAGAGCUUGCUCUUACGGGUGGCGAGUGGCGGACGGGUGAGGAAUACAUCGGAAUCUACUUUUUCGUGGGGGAUAACGUAGGGAAACUUACGCUAAUACCGCAUACGACCUACGGGUGAAAGCAGGGGAUCUUCGGACCUUGCGCGAUCGAAUGAGCCGAUGUCGGAUUAGCUAGUUGGCGGGGUAAAGGCCCACCAAGGCGACGAUCCGUAGCUGGUCUGAGAGGAUGAUCAGCCACACUGGAACUGAGACACGGUCCAGACUCCUACGGGAGGCAGCAGUGGGGAAUAUUGGACAAUGGGCGCAAGCCUGAUCCAGCCAUACCGCGUGGGUGAAGAAGGCCUUCGGGUUGUAAAGCCCUUUUAUUGGGAAAGAAAAGCAGCAGGUUAAUACCCCGCUGUUCUGACGGUACCCAAAGAAUAAGCACCGGCUAACUUCGUG
rnacentral:rRNA from 1 species